UACGUAGGGUGCGAGCGUUAAUCGGAACUACUGGGCGUAAAGCGUGCGCAGGCGGUUCGUCGUGUCUGAUGGGAAAGCCCCGGGCUCAACCUGGGAAUGGCAUUGGAAACUGGCGGACUAGAGUGUGGCAGAGGGGGGUGGAAUUCCGCGUGUAGCAGUGAAAUGCGUAGAGAUGCGGAGGAACACCGAUGGCGAAGGCAGCCCCCUGGGCUAACACUGACGCUCAGGCACGAAAGCGUGGGGAGCAAACAGG
rnacentral:rRNA from 1 species